rnacentral:rRNA from 1 species
AGUGAACGCUGGCGGUAGGCCUAACACAUGCAAGUCGAACGGCAGCACAGUAAGAGCUUGCUCUUACGGGUGGCGAGUGGCGGACGGGUGAGGAAUACAUCGGACUCUACUUUUUCGUGGGGGAUAACGUAGGGAAACUUACGCUAAUACCGCAUACGACCUACGGGUGAAAGCAGGGGAUCUUCGGACCUUGCGCGAUUGAAUGAGCCGAUGUCGGAUUAGCUAGUUGGCGGGGUAAAGGCCCACCAAGGCGACGAUCCGUAGCUGGUCUGAGAGGAUGAUCAGCCACACUGGAACUGAGACACGGACCAGACGCCUACGGGAGGCAGCAGUGGCGAAUAUUGGACAAUGGGCGCAAGCCUGAUCCAGCCAUACCGCGUGGGUGAAGAAGGCCUUCGGGUUGGAAAGCCCUUUUGUUGGGAAAGAAAAGCAGCAGGUUAAUACCCCGCUGUUCUGACGGUACCCAAAGAAGAAGCACCGGCUAACUUCGUG